UUAAAGUCAAAGACGAAUUCGAAUGCUACUCAGAAAGUUACGUUAAAUGUUUUUGGGGUUUAUGCGACUCUCAUAAAAACGAAAGUAGUUUUGUUUCAAAAACUUCGGAGCAAGUAAUAACAAAGCAACCACAACGGCAGUACCAUUAUUACUGAGACAAUAAAGGAUAAAGGAGAUAAAUCAAACAUCAUGUAAAAUUAGAAAAAUAAAUUAUUUGUUUUAUUACAUUAAAUACUUUGAUCACUUAAACUA